rnacentral:rRNA from 1 species
UACGUAGGGUGCGAGCGUUGUCCGGAAUUACUGGGCGUAAAGAGCUCGUAGGUGGUUUGUCGCGUUGUCCGUGAAAACUCACAGCUUAACUGUGGGCGUGCGGGCGAUACGGGCAGACUGGAGUACUGCAGGGGAGACUGGAAUUCCUGGUGUAGCGGUGGAAUGCGCAGAUAUCAGGAGGAACACCAGUGGCGAAGGCGGCUUUCUGGCCUGUUCUUGACGCUGAGGCGCGAAAGCUAGGGGAGCGAACGGG